GAUUCUAAUAGCCAGUGAAACUCAAGAACAAUGCUGUCGUACCCAAUUGAGAUGACAUACUUUUGCUGAAGUGGCAUUUUAAGGACAAGGAUGAGAGGGACAGCUGCUUCCAGUGAUAGUUCAAAAGGGAUCAAUACUAUCAUCUACAUGUACUAUCAAGCCAGAUAAAAAUUUUAAAAAAUAAUGUCAUAAUCAGUAGAAUCUAAACAUAUAUAAUCCACAAAAUAUGAGAUAUAGAAAUAAAUUUUAAGGUUGCGUGUCUAGAGGGUGAAGUUCAGAAAUGCAGACUUUAUCUAAUCUUUCUGAGCCAGAAAACAAAACAGUCAAUCCUUUGUACAUCCGCUAGAACAAAGGAACAAUGAGACUGGGAAGUGCCUGGGCUGCGAGAACCUGCACUGGAAACAAACACUUAAAACCCCAUUUAUACUGUGAUAAAGCCCUUUGCUGGCAGUUGUCCACUAUUGCUAUGCAUGCUGCAGAAACUAAAUAGUUUUCAGACUCCCUUUAAAUCUAAGCCCAAUAAAAACUCUGAUGGAUGUCAUGAAUUGCAUAUUCAGUGUAAUGACAAAAAAUAAAAAUAGAUGUCUAUGGAAAAUGAUAGGCAUAUUUAUAGAAUUUUUCAGAUGUUGGUUUGCUACUGUAGCAUAGUCAUUCCUCCAUGAUUGCCAAAUAAUCUCUUUGUACAUCUGCCCCAUCUGUCAUCUUCAUUCCCCUUGAAGCAUCAAAAACUUUGCAUGAGUCUCUAUUUCAGGAUAAAGUCUAAGUUUCUUUCUAGGCACUUGAGUUCUUCUCAAACUGGAUUUUAUCCCUGCCUCCCAACCAAACAACAGCAUCUUUACAGAAAUUGGGAUACCAAUCUAGUUACAAGCAGAGUGGUUAGGAGACUUGAUUGGAACUGCAUUUAUGUAGCAUUUUACGUAAAAUGGAGUAAACAUCCACUAUUCAUAUGAAAUAAUUGGAGGAUUACUUGUAAAAAUCAGGGUGGGAUGGGGCAAAAAACCAAACCAUCCUUUGGUGCAGGUUUUUGAAAAUGAGAAGAAAAACAAAAUGGAAAAGAAUUGUGCACAAUCUCCAGUUAAUUAAAUACAUUUCUAGAGAGGUAAUUUCUUUUUUUCUUUUUUCUUUUUUUUUUUU
rnacentral:lncRNA from 1 species